CCUACGGGUGGCAGCAGUGAGGAAUAUUGGUCAAUGGACGGAAGUCUGAACCAGCCAUGCCGCGUGCAGGAUGACGGCACUAUGAGUUGUAAACCGCUUUUGUACGAGAAUAAUAGUUCUUACGUGUAGGGGUUUGAAUGUAUCGUACGAAUAAGGAUCGGCUAACUCCGUGCCAGCAGCCGCGGUAAUACGGAGGAUUCGAGCGUUAUCCGGAUUUAUUGGGUUUAAAGGGUGCGUAGGCUGUCGGAUAAGUUAGAGGUCAAAUGUCGGGGCUUAACCCCGUGCCUGCCUCUGAUACUGGCAGACUAGAGAGCGAAUGAAGCAGGCGGAAUGAGUAGUGUAGCGGUGAAAUGCUUAGAUAUUACGCAGAACACCGAUUGCGCAGGCAGCUUGCUAACUCCCAUCUGACGCUGAUGCACGAAAGCGUGGGUAGCGAACAGGAUUAGAUACCCCGGUAGUC
rnacentral:rRNA from 1 species